UUCCAUUGUCUAUCCAGCCUGGCCCCUGAUGGACAUUGAUGUCGUUUCCGAUCUUUGACUGUUAGAAACAGUACCGCAGUGAAGACCUUGGAGCACAUCUCAUUUCCCACCUGGCGGAGAUCUAUGGGGACCUUGGCAUGCUGGCUCUGAUAAAUAAGCCUGUGGAAGAAAACCCAGAGAGCACGACUCCCAGUGAGGUUGUGAGGGUCCAGACAUGGGUCUGGGCUGCUGUGGAGGACUGUGGCCUGUGCCUGGCUCUACGCUCUAUGGCCUAUGCUUGACACCGCCCCCUGGGAAGGAAGACCCGGCCUCCUCUGCAGGAUCCAGCUGAAGGGCAUCGGCUCACUUGUCCAGCUGCAGCCCAUUUACUCUGCCCACCCCUGCAAAGCCAGGCUCUCCCAGACCCGAGACUGCUCAAGCACGUGCCUGGAGGUCCCAGAAACAUCACUGCCAUGUGGACCCCGGGGGACAAGUCCAUCCAGGGCCGCCUCGUGACACCCCAUUACUGUUACUGGAGUGAGUUUGAGGAAUUCCUAUGUACUAAAAAGAAAAAAGAAUCCUUGACUAAGGCACCCAGCAAACACCAGGAACUAUGUUUGCCUACAAACUGCUAUGUCUCUCUAUGGCGAGCAAGUUCCUGAAAUCCUCCCUCACAGAUUAUCUAUUGAAGUAGAUAUGGAUGUUGCCUUGGCUCGUAUGAAAGCUAAUGAAGGUGACUCCCUGCAAAGGGAUAAGGAAAUGAACAUUUCAGCUGCUCUAUGAGAUUCUGCUUUUUACAAAAAUUCAAUUUACCUAAAAAAAAAAAUCAAUCUGGCAACAUCGAUUAGAAUAAGAAGUACACAUACGAUCUGACCCAGUAGUAUAGCUCCUGGGGAUCCAUCCCACAAAACACUGGCUUGGAAGGGCUUAUGCCUAAGGGCGUCUGUUGCAGCAAAAACUAGGGGAAAAAAAAACUUUAGAUAACAACUCUGUAAACUGCUCCUUGGAGUUCUGCUUUCUUCAUGCUAUUAAGCGUGUGUGUAUAGAAAGGAUUCCAGGUGCAAAAGUCCUUCAAAAACACUGAUUUAUACAAAGUCAAACAGAUGUAUUAUUCGUGGGCUUCUCAGAGCUAUUAAGAUGCUUAUUCAGAUAUUAUUCUAGGAAAUAUAUAUUGAGCCUCCACUAUGAGCCAGGAGUUGUGCUGGGGAAAAAGAACAGUGAUCAAAACACGUUCCUCAGAAUAGAGAAUCCGGAAAUAAACCCUGACACCUAUGGUCAAUUAAUCUUUGACAAGGGAGGCAAGAACAUAAAAUGGGAAAAGGAAAGUCUAUUCAGCAAGCAUUGCUGGGAAACCUGGACAGCUGCAUGCAAAGCAAUGAAACUAGAACACACCCUCACACCAUGCACAAAAAUAAACUCCAAAUGACUGAAAGACUUAAAUAUACGACAGGACACCAUCAAACUCCUAGAAGAAAACAUAGGCAAAACACUCUCUGACAUCAACAUCAUGAAUAUUUUCUCAGGUCAGUCUCCCAAAGCAAUAGAAAUUAGAGCAAAAAUAAAUCCAUGGGACCUCAUCAAACUGAAAAGCUUUUGCACAGUGAAGGAAACCCAAAAGAAAACAAAAA
rnacentral:lncRNA from 1 species